rnacentral:rRNA from 1 species
UGAACGCUGGCGGCGUGCUUAACACAUGCAAGUCGAACGGUAACAGAGGAGCUUGCUCCUGCUGACGAGUGGCGCACGGGUGAGUAAUGCAUAGGUAACGUGCCCCUUAGUCUGGGAUAGCCACUGGAAACGGUGAUUAAUACUGGAUACUCCUUCUACCUUGAUGGUAGUUGGGAAAGUUUUUCGCUAAGGGAUCGGCCUAUGUUGUAUCAGGUAGUUGGUGAGGUAAUGGCUCACCAAGCCUAUGACACAUAGCGGGUCUGAGAGGAUGAUCCGCCACACUGGUACUGAGACACGGACCAGACUCCUACGGGAGGCAGCAGUGGGGAAUAUUGCACAAUGGACGAAAGUCUGAUGCAGCAACGCCGCGUGGAGGAUGACACAUUUCGGUGCGUAAACUCCUUUUAUAUAAGAAGAUAAUGACGGUAUUAUAUGAAUAAGCACCGGCUAACUCC